rnacentral:rRNA from 1 species
UACGUAGGUGGCAAGCGUUGUCCGGAUUUACUGGGCGUAAAGCGUAUGCAGGCGGAUUGUUAAGUAGGAAGUGAAAGGUUGGAGCUCAACUCCAACACUGCUCCCUAUACUGGCAGUCUUGAGUGGCGGAGAGGAAGACGGAACGACACGUGUAGCGGUGAAAUGCAUUGAUAUGUGUCGGAACACCAAUGGCGAAAGCAGUCUUCUGGACGCAAACUGACGCUGAGAUACGAAAGCCAAGGUAGCAAACAGG